rnacentral:lncRNA from 1 species
GAUCGUCUAACCUGUUCGUCUAAUGCUUUCUCUCAGAUGCUAGUAGGGUGGAUCCUGCAAAGAAAACACUCUGACGCUCAAGUUAGAUAGGUAAUUGGGAAACUGAGUGAAUAUAUAGUUUAGAAAAAGUGUCUCUACCUGACAAAUGGUCUCCCAUUUACAAUCCUUACAUUCAAAACUGACCAUUAAUUACCGUAAACCGUCGUAUCUUCCGUUACUUUCCCAUCAAAGCUAAUCAAUGCUUCUCCGCGCCACCAUCAUUCUGACUUUAGGUCCAACCGACCGAUCAUCUUGUAAACGGGUUUUACUCCCCCCGGUCCUUCCGGUCAGUCUAACCGACCCCUUACACUACAAAAGUUAUUUUUUUAUGAAUAAAAUAAAUCUAACUUCUAGAAAACAAUAAAAGUAAUUAAGUGAAAUAUAUAGUAAAAACUUCAUUAGGGUUCGGUUUCCU